AAAGGAUUCAAAAUUCAUAAUUUUUAAUGGUUGAUAUCUGCCGUUUUCAAGAUUAACGGUGUAGAAGUAUUCAAAUCAGAUGAAAUUUUGAUACAAAAUUCUUUAUACUAUCUACAACAAAAUCAAUAUUUUUGAUCGAAAAUUUUAGUGGUAUAUCAUUACUUUUUAUAGGAUUUUUAUUUUCAGCCGUUAAAAAUUAUUGAUUUUGAAUCCUUUCGAUUGCGAGGUAAAUGAUAUCGAAAAAUCGCAAAAAUUAUUUUCUAGAAACUUCAAAUACGCUAGAUCAAGUUUAACGGAACCGAUCGUUGAUUCGGAAACUCCAUCAUCGAAAACGGCUCAGGAGCACGAAGGCCUCCGUGCUCCUGAGAGCACAACAGCCCUGCUCUCUCUCUCUCUCUCUUUCUCUCUCUCUCUAUAUAUAUAUAUAUAUAGAAUUAGGCUACUAUACUAUCUAUAGUAUCGAAGCUCCGGUACUAUAGUCUUGUUUUCGAUCUUAGGGUGUUUAAAUUAACGAUCCACACCGUUAAAUAUGAUCUAGGGUAUAUAAAGUUCUCAGGAAUAAAAUUUUAGUUUUUUUUGACAUCGUUUACUUAGUAAAUAAAUUAUGUCAAAAUGGACGGUAGAAAUUGAAUAAUAUUUAAAAUUUGAGCAUAGGACUUNUUUUUUUUUUUUUUAUAUAACUUUUACUUUAAGCUUUAAAAACUUAAAUUAAAAUGUGUUUGUAGGCGGAAACGAUGUUGGUCGUUAUUAAAAAUUAAUUUAAUUGGGAUGGAAAGGUGGAUGUUUAGAUGAAAUUGUUUGAUAGACAGUUCACAGUAAAAAAGGAAGGGAAAGAAAUAAAUAUAUGUCUUGAAAGAUAUUUGUAGUAUGAAUAAAAAUAGGAUGAAGUGCAAAUUUAAAAUCUCCGUUGUAGAAAAUAAACUAUAUUUCCAAAUCUUUUUUAAAGUAGGUCCCGUCUGGUACUCCCUUCUAGAAAUCACGAUAAAAAUUUUCUCAGAUGUUUUUUAUAUUUCUAAAACUCUUUAUCUCAUUAAAUUAAUAUUUUUCCAGAUCCUGCGUCUUGCAAAUUAACAGGAUUUUCAAAAGGAUAUCUUUUGCUAUCUGAUCUAACAUUGCGACCAUAGGGGUAAAUUUGAUCUUCUGGUGCUGAGGAAACGCUAUGUCUAGGAAAAUUACCAGUAUUAUAGGUUUCUGCUGGCAUCCGGACUGUAUCAUAAUAUGGUAUAUGAGAAUAUCCGGGAUUUGUUGUUUGAGGCCUAGGAGGUCUCUGUGGAGCUGGGGGAGUGGAUAAUGGAUGUUCAACAUGAUAUGGUGGAGGAGUGUGUGUUACAGGGGGAUUAUGGACAGUAGAUCCUUCUCCUUCUUCUGCUAAGUUUAUUUCUCUAAUUUCAUCUCUUAGGUUAUAGAUGAAUAUGUCAUCGAGAGGAGUGUAUCCUAAUCUUUUGUCUUUUUCAGAUCUUAAUUGUCUUUUUAGUCUGAUUUGUUCUAUAUAUAUAUAUAUAUAUAUAUAUAUAUAUAUAUAUAUAUAUAUAUUUAGCUUUGGUGUAUUCUACUUGCUCUUAAUAUGUUUAUGCUUUCUUGAUAUAAUUACUUGAUAAUUUAAAAAAGAAAGAGAUUUUUGAGCUGUGCUAUCGUCACGGGGUUUGUAUCGUGCUGAUACCUUGGAGGGAUGGUACAACACGAUAAGCAUAGCUCAUACUAAUGGGCAUUUAAAUCUUUGUUGCCUUUUCUUCCUUUCUCUCUCUCUUCUUCCUCUUCUCCUCCUUUUUCUUAUAUUCCUCUUUCUUUCCCUUUCAACUUGCUGCAUAUAAGAGAGUUGUAUUUGAAUAUCGUGGAAGUCUUGAUUUUUACAGAUGUAUUUCAGAAAUUAAUUUCUUGUUGCAGUUAUCUAUGAUAAAUCAAUCCUAAUAUCCGAAAAGUGUUUGUAUCAACUUCGGCUCAAGAGUUAAUCCUUUACAGCUCAACUCAAAAGAAUCUCACCAUAUCGAGUCUGGAGUAGAUAUCCUAACUUAACCUUAUUGAAGGUUUCUAACUGCCAGACAACAGCGCCUCUUAAGAAGGCACUUCUUCUUUUUCUUGAGUUUGUUUCUUACGUGAUUAGCUAAAGUCAACUUCCAUUCUGGUUACAUUUAGAUGUGAGCCUACACUUUUAGCUCUAAAUAGAUUAACAUUGAUUCAUUCUUUGUCCUAAUAUUUGGCUAUAAGUAGAUAGUGUAAGAAAAUCUACAUAGGUGAGCUGUGACUUUGUUUUGGGUGUAAAUUUGUAAUGACCCUUUUACACUUUUUUUUUUACGUAUUCUAGAAUUUUUUACUUAUGAUAGUUUUGGGCCUGUUUGUUUUACUAAAAGUGGACUUUGGGUUUCAAUGGACUUUGGGUUGAAAUAGAGUUUAGGUGAAAAUUACUUCUCCCCUGCUGUUUGUUACUAUAGCUAUAGAAGUGAAGUUUCUUCAGUUCUGCUUUUUGUUUGGUAGGAAUUGAAUGACGUAAAAAUUAUAAUUUAUAUAUAAAUAAAUAAUAAAUAACUUGAUAAAUAAUAAAUUAUAAUGUAAUAAACAAAAAAAUAUAAUUGUAUCCCGAUAUAAUUAAAAAAUGUAAUCUAAAACAACUAGAUUAAUAUUUUUAUACAUAAAUCAUAAUAAUUCAACAAUAAAAUUAUAGAGUAAAAGAAACAUUAAAAUACUCAACUAAUUAAGUCAUCAUAUUUUAAAUGUGCAUACUAAAUGAAAGAGAAGUGAAACUUAACUAAUUAAUUUCCAUCAUAUUUUAAACAUGUAAACUAAAUAAAAGAGUAAUUAGUACCACAAUCAAAUAUUUUUGAAUAUAGCUAGCAUUACCCAUUAUAUUAUUUUAUUUUAUUUUUCCUUCAUCUCUAUUCACCGUAUUAUGUUGUUUCGGGUAACUUGUGUAUCUUUAUUACGGCGAACCAAGCAGUGAACACGCCUCUCCACUUUCACCCAAACGAACAGACCCUUAUUAGGCCACUUCCACUGUCCAUAGAAAUAAAUUUGCAGGGGUAAUGAGUGCCUCUAGAUAUAUUAAAAACAAGGAUUAAAGUACUGUGGUACGAGGGCGUGCCGCUGUUUGUCUAGCACAGUAUGACACAUGCACUCUUCCAUGGCGACACGUGACAUGCUUGCGUGCCACUGGAUACGCAUGGUCUCCUAAUGGCACGCUUUAGCACAGUCUUAUUGUAGUUUUUUUGGUUCCAGUAAAUUCUUAUAAUGUUAUGUUGAAAGGUUUAUCUAAAUAAUUAUGAAUAUAUUAGCUAUGCAUAGCUUAUUGUACUCACCAAGUAAUAUAUAUUGGAAAGCUUUUUUAUAUGUAAAGUACAAUACCUUAUAGAGAAUAGAAUCUAAAAUACAAUAAUAAAAUUUACAAGUACAAUAAUUAUAUAAUUUUUUUUAUCUUUAUAGAGUGAUGACUACUUAAUUCCACAUAGAUCGUCGUGGUGGAUCAUAAAAAUUUGUUAGAUCUAUCCAUAAAAAUUUAGUAAUAAAUUAUAUGACAAAUAAUUUUAAAUAAAUUUAAGUAUCAAUUGAUUUAUUUAGCUUUUAAUUUUAUCAGUAUUUUCAAUCUUCUAACUCCAAAAAGAGAAUUUUAUAUUAGAUGUGCCUCGAAAUUUGGUUAUCGAGUUCGAUUUCAUGCCCUGAUUCGCCAAAAGUUUCGUGGUGCAGCAAAUUUUGAAAAAACAAUUUGUGAAGAAAAAGUGGAUGUUAGUGGUGGGCUACGAGCUCAAGCUGUCUCCGCGGUACGUGUGCAAAAAGAGAAAAAAAAACCCCAAUAGGAAAAAAAAAGGGCACGAUACUGUGCCGCAAUACCUACUCCAAGAACCCCCCCCCCCCCCCCCCACCUGUUAUACGUGUCGUACGUCACGGGGUGGCACUUGAAACCUUGGGAGGAACCUAUCUGGAAGAAUAUAGGCUGAUAGCCUCUUGGAACAUCUUAUAUUCUUAUGUUUAAGAGAUUCGAAAGGAAAUAAAUAUAAGUUGUCUUCUUUGUUUCUGAAAUGGAGAAUUGGCAAUUAACCAUUUGAACCAAAAAAAUCCUACUUUUUGAUGAAUUAGGGAAAUUGAAUUUGUGCAUCUUGUUGUAUAGCUUAAUUUGAACUAAAUUUUAGAAACAAUGGAAUUAACUUGUUUCUCUGUUCUUAUCAUGCUACUUGUUCUAUGGUAUUUAGUUCUAAGAAACGAUGUAAAUUCAUAUCUAGUCACUUUUACUUGUGGCUCUAUGUUUCUUACUACUGUAAAUUCUCACAUAAUGAGUUAGUAAAUCUGCUAUGAAUGUGUGUAGGGUGGAUCCACAAAGUACCACUUACGUUCCAGGUGGUUACGCAUUUUUGAAAGUGAUCGUGAUCGCCGUGACCUGGUGAGUUGACUUGCAUUCUCCAUGUAAGCCUCUCUUGACAGUGAUUUAUUUAAAUGAUACAUAGCUUGAUUUCUCCACUUUUACUCGUCCACUUGUUUCUUUUUAUUUUUCAAAUAAACUUCAUCGAAAAUGUUAAAUAGUUAUUUCUAAUGAAUAUGAUUUGCAAUGUUCUUUUUUAUAAUAUUAUGUUCAUAACUUCAUAUAUAUAUAUAUAUAUAUAUAUAUAUAUAUAUAUAUAUAUAUAUAUAUUCAGUUUCAGGUUUGGCAUCAAUUUUACUUUUUCCAAAACAGGAAACAGAUCCAGACCAAAGCUGGAAAGUUAUGAAGUGUAUCACCUGUGAAUUUUAAGAAAAAAAAGGAAUCGCAUCAUUGGUUGCAACAUCUAAAAUUUUGCUAAUAUUUCUGAAAUGGCUUGUUUUUUUUUUUUUUUUUUCUUUGGCAAUUACUAUGAGCAAUGACAAUUCUGCAUUCUGACGGUAUGUUAUAUGUUUGGGAAGGUAACCUGUGGAUGUGCUGCUGGUGUUGCCGCUGCCUUUAGAGCUCCUGUUGGUGGUGUACUAUUUGCCCUAGAAGAAGUGACGUCUUGGUAAUUUUUCUUGUGCUUUUUCUCACAUUUUGCACUUGUUAAGUAUGACUUCGUAGUAUAAUGGAAGAAGUGAGCCAGGCUAGACACAACUAACUCUUCAGAACUUGCCCUUUUCAAUUAAUUGAGUUGGAUACUUAACCUGCUAAUCAAGGUAUUCUAUUAAAGGUAUAGAUGAUAAUGAUAUAUUACAGAUAGCUUGAAUUCCUUUAUAUUUGCAAGACUACCUUGAAUGCUCUCUCUCUCUGCCGCCCGCCCCCACACACACUUUCUGUAGUAAACACACAAAGACUAGCUGCAAACAUACACGAAAAGCAGACACAUGCACACACAAAUUUAGCUGUGGACAUAUUUUGUCCUUCAAGAGUGGCAUGAGAUAAAUUGAUCGAGGGAAACAUCAUUAGAGCACUUCAUUAAAACCAUACGGAACUUUUGAUGAGAAUCGAAUACAAAACAUUGACAGUCUUUAAAAUAUCAGUGAAGGUUGUAAAUAACUGAUAGCGGUAUUUAGCAUUUAGGGCUAUCAAAGCGGAUAGCGGAUAGUGGGUGCCAUAGCAGCCGUUUGAACCCAUCGUGGGAUUUAUUAUAAAUUAUUUAAAUGCGUAUAUUCCUAACUGCAUUUGUAUUUAAAAUGAUAGCAAUAAUAUUUUAGCUCCAAAUAUAGAAGUAUAAUACUUUAAAUUUCUCUACAUUUAUAUUCCAAGUAGUGUUUCUACUUAGUAUAGUGAUCUUUCGUAGUCGUGGUGAUCCUUAGCAGCCACCGAUAAACUUGUUCUGUUGUCGUGAUCCUUAGCGGCCACCGAUAAGCUUGUUCUGUUGUCGUGUUGUUUGUCUCCCCACAUGAAUAGAAUCAUGAUUUUCUCAUUCAUUUCUUGUAAGAAAUAUGAUUGAAUAGUUUCUCUAGUACUUACUAAGUACUUUAUUUCUUCUAUUAGGACACUUUUUUAUGAUUUUAGGACUUAACCGACUUAUCGGAUCUUUAGAAAAUUGAGAACUAAAAUGGGCAUUCUUUCUUUUUUUCCGCCAUAGCGUUCACUGUGCGCACAUCUAUAUUUUAUUAUUAACAGUAUAGCGUAGCGUUUACCAAUUAAAACUGCUAUAGUCUAUACAAGCCGCUAUUGAGAAUACUAAUGUCUGUAGAAAAGGUUAGCUAGCUUAGUUCAAACAUCUAUGCAUUGUUUGAAAUUUUAAAGAAAAAAGAGUAUCCUAACAUAAGUUACCUAAUGGAACCUACUACUACAUCACUGCAAAUACAUAGUGUGAAAGGUAAGGUACACCAACUGUCAAAUUGUAGGGAAAACAUGUGUUAUGAGAUAAAUAUCUUAAAUUACGUGGAUGGAUUGCUCUUACCCUUUUUCUAAAAAGGCAAUGUAAAUAGAGCCAUGAAGUUAGAUGGCAGAAAGGAAGAGGGAAAAGAAUAUACAUAGAUUUAGUAAAUAAAGAAAUUUAUUGUAUUCUCAAGACAAUAAUGCUAAUCUUAUCUGGGUUAAUAGCUCAUAUAAGCUGAGAGUGGUAGCAGAGAUUCUUGGUGUAUUUGCAGAUGAAUAAGUAGUUUGAUAGUUUGUUGUUGAAUAGCACUGUUAAAGAAGGAAGUAAUGUUGAGGAUAUUAUGAAAUCUAGCGAAAAUAUGAAAGUAGUGAUGCAGCCAAUUUAGUGUUAGAAUUUAUGGACAAGCUUGACCUAACCAAAUUGGGCUGAAAAACCGUUGUGUUCAGCAAUUUUUGCAAACGGUUCGGUUAAACAGUCAUAACUUUUCGCACCGGUGUCUGUUUUCAACGUGCAGCCCCAAUUCGAAAACAACUUUUUGAGUUUUACAUGUUGAACUUCUUCGCCGUUUUGGCUCAGUUUGUGAUGCAAAUUCAGUUGUUUAUGCCUUCGAAUUUACACUCUUAUGUUGUUUUGGAAAAGUUUUUUUAUUUUUCCUAUUUUGAGUCAGGUUGUUUAGUCAAUUAUGGUUAUUUUUGGCUAAAUUAUAUUUUGAGAUAUUUUAGAUUCUUUCCUUGGUAGUUUUCUGAUAUCGCCUAUAUAAAUAUAUGGCGUUUGAUUAUUGUAAACGCUUUUGAAUUUGAUCAAUAAUAUUUCCCCCUUUUCGAAUAAUUGUCUUCUUUGUGUAUCUCUCUUUCUGUCCUUGUGUAUCUUCCCUCUCAGUGCAGCUUAGGCUUGCGUCAAGUGGUUAAAUCAUUGAAGGAAUGAAGUUUCUAAAAGGAUGCAAAAAGUGUAACCGGUAAAAUUAGUCAUAUGGUUGUUGGUGUUUAGAAGUUCUGUCAGAGAAAAUGACACAUAGAUUUACUGUAGUAAGGGAAAGAAAGGGUUUCUUCAAAAUAACUCCUGGUUAAAAAUUUAUUUCGGCAAAUGACGGUCUUGCUGUCAGGACAAUGCCACAUCCAGGCAGUCAUAGUGCUGCCCCUGCCCUUGCACAUGGCGACUUUUGUCUUUCCUUCAAUUCCCUCUCUUCAGGACAAUGCUUCUUCGCACCUGGCGCAUUACCACCCUAGCUGUCCAGUGUGGCACUGCAUAGCCCACCGCAACACCUCCCCUGAUGUUAUACCCUCUUGUCCUGGGUAAACACACAAUGAGUGUUGUGUGUGAUGUCAUCUAAUAAUUUAAUAUAUAUAGUUACUAAAACACUAGCAAACUUGAUGCUUAUGACUUGAAUGAUAAAACUUCAUGCUUAUAUAUGUAUAAUAAUAAGUUUCUUGCAACCUCUACAUAUAAAAUGUCACACUGUGAUAAUAAGUUGGUUAUUUGAUGUUCUGUGUUUCAUUUAAUCAUCAUGAUUCUUUUAUCAGUUUUUUUUUUUAGUUUUAUUUCUCACACUCUAUUUUCAUUACCUUGACUAUAUUUUAUGAAUCACAUAUCCACAGAUAUAAUGCACCUGCUACCUUAUAUGUGCUGUGUGGUACUUGGCCGCUAGCGAAAAGUUUUCAUAUUAAACAGCAUUGUUCUUAUUAAAAAUUUUCAUGUACCCUUAAUCUUGUUAAAUUCUUUGUUUCACUUUCUUAUUUGUGUUUCUUGAUGCUACUGGUGUAUAAUCUAGGUGAUCUCAGUUCCUUGGAACCUAUAAAAAUGACCUAACUAAAUUUCAUGAAAAUUCAUUUGUUGGUCUGUUCUCGUAGAUGAGUUUGUUUUUGGCUUGAAACUGUGAAAGCACUUAAUUUCCUCCUAUGUUCCUAAAGGUGGAGAAGCCAGUUAAUGUGGAGAGUUUUCUUUACAUCUGCUGUUGUGGCUGUCGUCGUAAGAUCUGCAAUGAGCUGGUGCAAGAGUGGGAAAUGUGGUCAUUUUGGUUCUGGCGGCUUCAUAAUCUGGGACAUAUCAGGGUUAGAUUUCUCUUUCACUCUCAUUUUAUGAGUAAUAUUCUGGUGAACUUUGUGAUUGAUCUGUUCACUUAUUCUUUAAGUGGUCAAGAAGACUACUCUUUUCAGGAAUUGCUGCCCAUGGCUAUUAUUGGGGUUAUAGGUGGUCUUCUUGGUAAGAGUUAAUCAGCCAUGCUUGCUUACGUUUGUAUGUAUAAUGUGUAGUAUGGCAUAUAUUUAUGAUAAGAUCAUCUUCUAGUUCUAUAACUUGUGCCUCUUUAAUCUUGUUUCUUCAGGAGCCUUAUUCAAUCAGCUAACUCUUUAUAUUACAAAAUGGCGUCGAUCAUAUCUUCAUAAGAAAGGGAGUAGAGUAAAGGUAUGUUAUAAUUCAUUAGACAACAGUCAUAGAUUUCUUUGUUCUUAAUUCUAGUUCAAAACCUCACACCUCUUUAAACUUCAUCUCAUCCCUAUAUUUCCAUUCCUCCGUUCAGAUUUUGGAAGUGUGCCUCAUUUCCGUGCUUACCUCUAUUAUAUCUUUUGGAUCACCACUUCUAACGAAAUGCAGUCCAUGCCCUGAUUCAGAUGCUAUUGAAUGCCCUCGUCCACCUGGGACUGAUGGAAAUUUUGUGAAUGUAAAUUUUACUUAUUUACACUUUAUUAUCGAGUAAUUAGUUGUUGCUCUGCUUUUGAGUGCCUUGAUUGUCAGUUAUCUCUCUUAAGUGCCCGUUUGGCCUAGAUUAUGGAAAAGUGAUUUCUGCACAAGUGAUUUUGGUUGAGAGAAUUGAUUUUGGUUAAAAGCUGUAAAGUAUUUGAUUUAGUUUAGAUAGAAAGCGAUAUUUCUGAAGUGAUUUUGUAAAAUUGUUUGGCAAAAUUUUUUGUUGUUUGAAAAUAAUAAUUUUUUUUUACUAAAUUUUAUUUUAAAAUAAUUUAAUAUUUAAAUUUAAAAUUUUAAUAUAAAUUUGCACAAAAAAUUAAAAUUUGAAAAUUGAAAAUUGAAAAUUUCAAAUUUGAAUUUUUAAAUCUAAAUUUAAAAUUUCAAUUUGAAAUUUAAAAAUCUAUAUUUUAAAAUUUAAAAUUUCAAAAAUUUGAAAUUUAAAAUUUAAAACUUGAAAAUAUGAAAACUUCAAAAUUGAAAUUUAGAAUUUAAAAUUUUAAUGUUUAAAAUUUGAAAUUUGAAUAUUUAAAAUUUAAAACUUAAAAUUUAUAAUUUAUAAUUCAUUAAAAUUUAAUUUAAAAUUUGAAUUUUAAAAUUUGAAAUUUGUAAAUUCAAAUAUAAAAAUAAAAUUUAAAUUUAAAAUUUAAAUUUAAAAUUUGAAUCUAAAAUCUGAAUAAAAAUUUAAAAUAUGAGUUCAAAAUCAGAAUCAGAUUUGAAAAAGCAGUUUUGGGCGUCGAAAAUUAGAAUACUAGUUCUAAAAGUCAGAAUCAGAUUUUAAAAAUGAGGUUGCUAAACAUUCUAUUGAGCCAAAAAUCACUUUUGGGUCAAAAAUCACUUUUUAAAAGCUAGGCCAAACACCCACUUACUGUUCUUUUGAUUUGCAGUUUUACUGUGCCAAGGACAAGGAAUACAACGAUCUGGCCACCAUUUUCUUUAAUACGCAGGUUAAAUAACACCUAAAUAGCUCGAUUUGUGUAAAUAUGUCAUUUAGUUCUAACUUUUCUAAUUUCUAAGAUUGUGUGACAUCUUCUUGCAGGAUGAUGCCAUACGCAAUUUAUUUAGUGCAAAAACAUUUCAUGAGUAUAGCGCUCAAAGCCUUCUCACCUUUUUGGUAUAACUCGUAAUCCGUUAUUAUCCAUACUAUCAUUUGCGAAGUUUUUAUAUUUCUGGUUGAUAUGUUGAUAAUGGAUUUGCCAUUUAGCUGUGAAACUAAUAUGCUUGUAAAUCAUGCUUUACUUUCUUCAAUGUACUUGUUCUUGCAUCUGUUUUUGUUAAUUUUUGAUAUUCCGUAUGGGCCUGUUUGAAUACCUGAAUAUCUUGCUCAACUCAACUACUUCCUUGUUUAUCCCAGGGCAAUGUAGUAAUUGGUUGACGGACGAAUAUGAAAAGAUGUCUGCAACACCAUAGUAUAUAUUGUCUCUUAAGCUUUUUUUUAUUUUAUUUUGCAGAGUAUUAUUAGUAAGAUUAAUUAUCCUGAAAACUCACAAUUAUAUGGACUUUGCAAUGGACCAAAAUCAAGCUCCUAUGUUUCAACGGCAAACAAAUAUUCCCAUCCCGCAUAAUGUUAUUGGAUAACUUGUCCCUCGCACCCACCCAAAUAGGCCCUAGAUUGGUUUACUUAUUCUAUUAUCUUUCAUGGCAUACAAAAUUCUUAUACUAGUUUAAAUUAGAAUUGGAGUGAGCCAAUCCUAAGCUGAAGUUCAUUGCUGUGUUUUUCCCAGAUGACACUCAAUCUUAGCAACAUGCGUACAAUCUGUGAUAAACAGAACUAGUUUUAAACUCAAAAAGGACCCUCAGUAAGGGAGUCUCCUAGGGUGCAUUACUGGACUAGUCCCCUCGGUAAGGGAGUCUCCUAGGUUGUAUUCCCGGACAAGUUAGAAAUAAUUCCUUAAGUACUUUUCGCUAAUGCUACAAAUAGUAUUUCACAAAUGUAAUUAUUGGAAUGUGAAAUGUUGAAUACUACGUUAAACCUGCUAAGCAAAAAUUUGACCAUCACAACACAUUAGAGUUCAAGUCCCCAUUAUUCUUGGUAAAAUGAAAAAGUGCUCAUAUAUAUAUAUAUUUUUGUUUAUUUUUGUUUUUUUUCUUUAAUAAGUUUGUAUCUGCAAAUGUUUAUGGAUUUCGUACUCAUUUUAAAAAUUAUAACAAGUUUGGUGUUAGUAUAACAGAGGUCAUUAUCAUGUAGCAUUUGGAUUAUAUGCAAUCUUGUUGUAGCCAGUCUAAUAAUUCUUGUUCUGAUGUUGCCAGGUUAUGUUUUAUUCCUUGGCUAUUGUGACAUUUGGCACUGCUGUUCCGGCUGGUCAAUUUGUUCCUGGAAUAAUGAUUGGGUCAACUUAUGGACGUCUUGUUGGAAUGUUUGUGGUCAAAUUUUACAAGCGGCUAAAUGUUGAGGAGGGAACGUGAGUCUUUAAUAUACUAGACUUCCUUCUCUUCAAUUGAUUUCUUGUCCGCUUUCAUAAUGCCACGUAAUUGUAAACUUUAUUUUGAGAAGCUUGCACAGAAGUCUUACAGAAUAGUGCUUGAUCAUAUUGGUCAUUAUUAGUUCUAAAUAAAAGGCUUUCCAUUUUGCACAAUAUUAUGUAUUAAUGAAUUUGUACACACUAAAAUGGAGUUAUAAACUUGGAAAAAUUUAAUGUUGCAUUCAGGUAUGCUCUUCUUGGUGCUGCUUCUUUUCUUGGUGGUUCUAUGCGAAUGACUGUUUCCUUAUGUGUCAUUAUGGUUGAGAUUACGAACAACCUGCAACUCUUACCACUAAUUAUGCUUGUUCUUCUUGUAUCAAAGGUACUCCUUUUACGUUACUACCUUUCUAUACUAGAGUUAUGAAAUGAAUGUUGUAUUUUCUUCCGUAUAGGCUGUUGGUGAUUUUUUCAAUGAAGGAUUAUAUGAAAUGCAAGCCCAGUUGAGGGGUAUUCCUUUACUUGAAUCUAGACCAAAGCAGUACAUGCGUAAUAUGACAGCAAAGGAGGCAUGCAAGACCCAAAAGGUUUACUUCCGUUUUGUUCUUGAAUACAUACAAUCUGACCUUGUCUCUCUAUGUUAUUAUGCAUUCAGCUUAUGUUUGUUUUUUAUGGCUUAUUGAAGGUUGUAUGUUUCUCCCGCAUUGUUAAAGUUGCAGAUAUUGUUUCUGUCUUGCGAAGCAACAAGCACAAUGGUUUCCCAGUGAGUUGGGCAUAGUAUGCUACAAUACUCAUUCACUCGUUUUGCUAAGUCUCGUUUAACUAAUAAGAUGCAAAAUCCAGGUAGUAGAUCAUCGGCCAAAUGGAGAAACACUUGUGAUUGGCCUCAUACUUCGUAGGUAGGACUUAUGAUUUGCUUCUACAUCAUAUUUCCUUUCUGUUCAAAUGAUUUAGAUAUCACAGAUCUGUUUUAUUUUGCAGUCACUUACUGGUGCUUCUGCAAUCUAAGGUAGAUUUUCAGAACAGUCCUUUCCCUUGUGAUCUCAGAGGUGUAUCUAACAGGUUUGUGGGUCUAUUCUGUCACCUUUACCCCGCAUUAGCCCUUUCACACAAAUGAUCUGAUUGCUUGUUCCCUUUUCUAGGCACAAUUUUAGUGAUUUUGUGAAACCCGCUUCGAGCAAAGGAAAAUCAAUAGAGGAAAUUCAUCUAGCACAGGAUGAACUGGAGUUGUAUUUGGAUCUUGCCCCAUUCCUAAAUCCUUCCCCUUACAUAGUGCCAGAGGAUAUGUCUUUGGCAAAGGUGGAAAGUUUUUCUGUUCUUUUGAAUUGAUUAUGCAUUUGUCCUAUCAAAAUUUUUCAGUUUUUUUUUAAACCUUUGUUUUUUUCCAUUUACAGGUCUACAAUCUUUUUCGUCAGUUAGGGUUGAGGCAUAUAUUUGUUGUUCCACGUCCUUCUCGCGUUAUAGGAUUGAUAACAAGGAAAGAUUUGUUAGUUGAGGUAAUGAACAGACAUGGUGUCAUAAUCAUUCACAACUAUAAGGAUUGCUAGUAUUUGUUAAUUUAGAUAUCUUAGCCUCAUUGUUAAUCAGAAUAAUUUGUAGGAUUGUUGCUUUCAUUUGAUAUGUUGUUCAAGCAUUUUAACAAUUAACAAUUGAAUAUUGCUUUUUGUAACUGCAGGAGAGUGAUGAUUCUGCCACUUUGGAGUUACAAUCGACUAGUGUAAGGUCUUGACACUGCUAUACUCACAUAAUAUCUGCUCCGUAUCUCCGUCAGUUUAAAUUUCUGAGUUGGGCAUCCUUUCAAAAGCGUUAGCUACAUUGCUUGCUUCUGCCCCUUAUUGAUCUAUAAUCCGUACCUGAUUCAGACUUUAGGAUCGUUGCAUCAACAAACCGGGAUAAAUUGACUCGCCAUCAUGUAAUAUAAUUUGUAAUUUUUUUGAUGAAUUUUACAUAUACUGUCUUAAUCAACUCAAUUUGAUUUCCCAACUCCACCUCUAACCUAAACCCUAAACCCUAAACCCUAAACCCCAAUGUGAACCUCUCAAAUCUAACCUAGAACUUUUCUUUGACUUGGUACAAUAUGGAAAUAAUCAAACAACUUUCAUCUCUUAACUGCCUAAUCACCUCUACACAUUAGAAAUGAACCUUUUGGUGAUAAUUUCAAAGCAUAGUGCAAGUCAUGCAUCAUGGGAUAAAUGAUGUGUCCAAUGGUUUACUGUUUACUAGGUGAUACCUCUGUAUUUGGAAUAGUUGCUUCUAGUUCUAUGAAUCAGAGCUAUUAGCAUGUGGAGUGGCGGAGAAAACAACUUUGAACAAGUCGGAUAAGCAUGUGGCCGUCCAAUUGCGUUCAAAAGAUCGAAUAAGUAUUUAUAUUGCACCAAUAACAUAGUAGCUGAAAUACAGGUUUAUUGGACAUGGUUUCUUAACCAAGGAAGUCAUUGAGUUCAGGUGUUUCUGAAGUUUCUGAACUACAAAACCUAAUUCUGCUAUUGAAAGUUGGAUGGGCGCACUUAUGGAAUACUGUAUUGGGUGGACAUACUGAUAGUAGGAGUUCAGCAUUCUGUGAAUCCCUAAAUUUGAUGGUUCUUAGAAUCUAAGUUACCUAACUAAGAUUGUCCUUAAGAAUGCAUACUAUAAUAAAGUGAUCUGAGUUGGAUGCAUGUCUCAGAUUUUACUACUAGGUCAUGAUAGAUCCAAGAAGUCAUCGAAAUCGGGUGUUUCUCAAGUUUCUGAAUUAUGAAACCUAAUUCUGCUUUUGAAAGUUGGAUGGGCGCACUGAUGGAAUAUUGUAUUGGGUAAACAUACUGAUAGUAGUAAGUUCAGCAUUCAGUGAAUCCCUGUAUCUGAUGGCUCUUAGAAUUUAGUUAAGAUCAUGCUUAAGAAUGCAUGCCAUAAUAAAGUAAUUUGAUUUAGGCGCAUGUCUCAGAUUUUACUACUAGGUCAUGAUAGACCCCAUCAGGCACCUUUGCACUAUGUUCAUGUCUAAUUCAGACAGUGUUGAAUAAUGUUUGUCUAGUAUUUAAUCAAACUUUAAAUUGCUAGCCUGGAAAUUAAUUUGCAUUGUCUGCCUAACUCUUUGUUGAUUGGUAGAACAUUAGUAGCUUUCAAUAUAAGUGACUCCAUUUUGAUGGGAACAGACUGGUAAAUAUGGGUUGAUAUGUUGCUGUACCUUCGAUAUUUCCUUUGAUGGCUAACUGAUUUGCAUUCUAGCAUCUAGCUCUCGAAGUGGUAUUGGGGAAAAAGAUAUUAUAAAAUGCAUCCGAGUGACUGCACUUGUUCCUGCCAUUGGAUAGUAUCAAAUGUGCUCUCAGAUUUAGGAUUGAGUGCUAUUGAAUGGUAGGAAGGGGUGCGUAUAACUGAGAUGAGUUUGAUAUAUAUAUAUAUAUAUAUAUAUAUAUAUAUAUUUGGUAGUGUUGCUGUCCCAAGUGUACCUGCACUUACAGUCAAAAUGAUGAAAUUAGGUUAUAUGUGUCUUUGCGUAUCUGAUUAAUAUGUCUUCUCAUUAUUACCUAUAGGUAUUAGGUCUAUUUAAGUAAUAUUUUAGUAUUUCUUCUAUUUGUGGCCUUAAUUCAUAUUUUUCACUUACUGACAGAGCUCAACGUCCACGUGAAAGGUUGGUCAUGCAACAUGUACAACAACCAGAGCACCCUCUUCUCAGUAGUCUUCUGAUCCAACAGUAAAUAGCUAGAACAUUAUACAACGUCAAAACUUGGCAGUGACUCACUUUUUUUAUUUUUAUUUUUUUCCUUCACCAUUGUAUACGAGAUCACAUUAUACCAUUCAUGGAUGUAAUAUGUACACAAGAAUAGACUGAACACGAAGCAGGAGUACUUUGGAACACCCUAAGUUUUAUAUGAGGGGGGCUGUGAAGGUGCCUAUUAAUGAGGGAGAAAGAAAUGGGUGUAAGAUAGCAAAUCACAUAGUUGCCAUCAAUUAUUCAUCUAUUCCUCAAUGAUUUCUUUUUUUACUUUUUUGUAAAGCAUUUGUUCAUCAAUCCCUUUUUAUUUCUUAUGCUUUUUCCUAUUAUUCAUUGCGAAAAUGUUUUUAUCUUGUCAUUUCAAUGUUUCGUGCUGUUUUUUUUUUUUUUUUUUUUUUUUUUUUUUUUUUUUUUUUUUUUUUUGCAGUUUAUUACAAAUUAAUAUAGGUUUUUCAAAUUUUGCAUGCAUAUCGAGGAAGAUCAAUUGCAUUCUGGUGAUGUGAAAUUUUUAUUAUGAAAAUGAUUCUUUGGAACUAUUUNGGUUAUCUUUCAUGUGCAGUUUAUUACAAAUUAAUAUAGGUUUUUCAAAUUUUGCAUGCAUAUCGAGGAAGAUCAAUUGCAUUCUGGUGAUGUGAAAUUUUUAUUAUGAAAAUGAUUCUUUGGAAGUAUUUAACUUCGAAACAUGAUAUGCAUUCGUGUCCUUGUAAAGUUGGUGACUCAAUUGUGUUCGAAUUGCAGUGUCUGUGCUCGUGUAUCUUUAGGAUGUGUUUGGUUCAAAGUUGGAAUCAGUAUCGAAAUCGAAAUAAUAAUAAGUUGGAAAUAGAAUUGGAAUGAUUUAUUAUUUCAUUCUGUUUGGUUGGAAAUGGAAUUGGAAUGAUUCAUUAUUUUAUUCUAUUUGGUUCACCACUUAAAUCGGAAUGAAUUAUUUUUGUUGUCGGUAUUUGGUUUAGAUAGAUAAUAGAAAAGUAAUCAAAUUAAUAUGCUAAUUUUAUCUUUAUAAUAUAUUAAUUUAAAUUCAAACUGAAAAUAGAAAUUAAAAAUUUAUGUCAAAAUUUUAAAAUAAUGUCAAAAUUUUAAAUAUAUUAAAAUUUGAAAUUGAACCGAUAAUUCUAAAUAUAAAAACUAAAUUUUGAUUUAUUCAAAUUCAUACUUACAAUUAUAAUUUAAAUUUCAAUUUGAAUUCAUAUAUUUAAUAUAUUUUAAAUAAAAUUUGAAUAAUUAAAACUUUAAAUUUUAAAUUAAAAUUAAAUUCAAAUUAUAUUUAUAAAUUAGAUUAUUUAUAAAUUAAAUUCGAAAUACUUGAUUGAAUUUUAAUUUUUAAUUUAAGUUCAAAUUAAACUUAAAAUUUAUAAAUAUAAUUUUUAAACUUAAACUUAUGUUUUAAUUAAAAAAAAACUUAAAAAAUUUAAAUUUAAUCCGAACAAAUCCAUUCUGCCGGAAUUCAAUUGUCAAUCCGGCCUCCUAGACCGGAUUGAAAAAGAGGGUAAUUAGAGGGAUUCUCAUUCACCUGGAAAUCGGAAUUAAAAUGAAAAUCUCGUAUACCAAACAUAGACAAACGGAUUCGUCUAUUUCAAUUCCGAUUCUAUAAUAAAAAAAAGGCGAACCAAACACGCCUUUAUAGUGCGGAGGCGACAAUCGUUGCAGUACUCGGGAAUGCUGGUAACUGAUGCAAAACGUGGGUCCUCAGAUUUCUCAUGUUCUGCUUUUGUGUUAAGUGGUUUUUGUUAGUGCUUUGUCGGUUUAAUCGGAGUUAUUAAUUGUGCUGUAAAUAAUCGAUCAACCAGCUCUCUUGUUAGUUUAAUUAGUUUACAUGUUGUAAAAAUUUUCAAAAGCCAUUACUGUUCCAAUCUUUCUUUUUUCGUUAUUGUUGCUCUAUUUUUGUUUGGCCAAGUUGCAUAAAAAAUUCAUUCGUUUUGAGCUUUUGCAAAAGUAGACUGUCUUUUUGGAUUUUACAGAUUCGGACCGAAUUUUUAGAAAACUGACUAAUAUAUUCUUAUUUCUUUUUUCUCUCUUCUUUUUUUUUCUCUCUUUAGAGAGGACGGCGGAGGUGGACGCGGCCCGCUUGGCUUCUGUCCCGCGUGCUCUCGCCCCGCGCGCCCUCCCUCUGCCUUCCUUGCCUCCGACCGAGUCGAGGUCGUUGUUUUUUUUUCUCUCUCCAACUCUCCUCCGCUGCCUUUUCGGUUCUUUACAACAGUAAAGAGGGCAACGUCACAUCUUCUUUCUCUUUUCUUUUUUUCUCGUUCUUUUUUUUUCUUCAACCCACCUCUACCACCUCCGCGGCCCUUUACGAUGGUAACGAAACCAACGUCGCAUUCUCUUCCUCCGCCUUCGUUGGCGCAGGCUUCGACGUCGGCGUCGGAGAAGGAGAACUCGGAGCAAGUGCGGGUGAGAGCGAAGCUGAGAAAAAAAAUUACAAAAAAAUAAAAAUCAAAAAAUCAAAAAUAAAAUAUAAAGAAAAAUAAUUUUUUCUAUAAGAAAAAUAAAAAUCAGAGAGAAAAGAAGAAGAUAAUAAAGUUGUAUUGGUUCAAGAAAAUGUUACACUGUUUUAGAAAAAUGUUGCAUUAGUUUACAGAAAGUUUAUACUCUUUAAGAAAAAAUUAUACUUUUUUGACGAAAGUUGUAUUUUUUGAACGACAGUUGCACUUUUUGGGUAAAAAUUGUACUGUUUGUCAUCUUCCUCAUUUUUCUUUUUCUUCCUCUUUGUUUUCAUGUGUUUCUUCUCCGCCCAUCUCUCUUCGUACUCCACCUCAUCGGCAGAUCCUCCGCUCAUCUUUUUCCGACCCUUUCUCUUUUUUUCUUUUUCUUUUCCGGCAGUGGAGGAGGGUUGGAAAGAAAAAAAAAGAGGGUUGUGGUAUGGUCUCGGCAGGGUUGGAGGCAAGAAGCGCGUAGCGGAGCGACUUUGGCGAGAGUGGAGGAUCUGCUGACAGAGGUGGAGGGCGAAGGAGAGAUGGGCGAGAAGAAACACACGAAAACAAAGAUGAAGGAGAAGAAAGAAGAGGAAGAGGAGAAACAGCAUAAUUUUUGCUCAAAGAGUGCAAUUUUUGUUCAAAAAGUAAAACUUUCGUCCAAAAAAAUAUAAUUUUUUUUCUAAAAGAAUAUAAGUUUUCUCUAAAAUAGUGUAACGUUUUUCUGAAACAGUGCAACGUUUCUUUGAAACAGUACAAUUUUAUCAUCUUUUUAUUUUUUCUCUGAUUUUUCUUUUUUCAUAUAGAGCAAUGUAUUUUUUUUUAUGUUUUACUCUAUUUUUUUUAUUUUUUUUCUUUUCUGCAUCUUUUUUCCUUGGCUUCACUCUCACCCACACUUGCUCCGAGUUCUCCUUCUCGGAUGCCGGCCAAGGCGUUGGAAGAGAAUGCUGCGUUGUCCUCAUUACUGUCGUGGAGGGUCACGAAGGCGGUGGAGGUGGUUCGAAGAGAAAAAAAAGAACGAGAAAAAAAGAAGAGGAAGAGAACGUGAUGUUACUCUCUUUAUUGUUGUAAAGAAUUAGGGAUGCGCUGGAGAAGGGUUGGAGAGAAAGAAAAAAAAAAAAAAAANAUCGACGCCGGCGUUACAGAAGGAGAACUCGGAACGGGUGCUGGUGAGAGCAGAGCUGAAAAAAAAAGUUACAAAAAAUAAAAAAAUAAAAAAUAAAAUAUAAAGAAAAAUAAUUUUUUUUACAAGAAAAAUAAAAAUCAGAGAGAAAAGAAGAAGAUGAUAAAGUUGUAUUGUUUCAAGAAAACGUUACAUUAGUUUAGAGAAAAUUUAUACUCUUUAAGAAAAAGUUAUACUUUUUUUAUGAAAGUUGCAUUUUUUGAACAAAAGUUGCACUUUUUGGGUAAAAAUUAUACUGUUUGUCCUCUUCCUCUUUUUUCUUCUCCUUCCUUUUCGUUUUCGUGUGUUUUUUCUCCGCACAUCUCUUCUUCGUACUCCACCUCCAUCGGCAGAUCCUCCGCUCAUCUGUUUCCGACCCUCUCUCUCUUUUUUUUUUUUUUUUCCUUUUCCGGAGGUGGAGGAGGGUUGGAAAGAAAAAAAAAAGAGGGUUGUGGCGCGGUCUCGGCAGGGUUGGAGGCAAGAAGCGCGUAGCGGACCGACUUUGGCGAGCGUGGAAGAUCUGCUGACAGAGGUGGAGGGCAAAGGAGAGAUGGGCGAGAAGAAACACACGAAAACGAAGAUGAAGGAGAAGAAAGAAGAGGAAGAGGAGAAACAGUGUAAUUUUUGCUCAAAGAGUGCAAUUUUUGUUCAAAAAGUAUAACUUUCGUCCAAAAAAGUGUAAUUUUUUUUUUUUAAAGAAUGUAAGUUUUCUCUAAAAUAGUGUAACGUUUUUCUGAAACUGUGCAACGUUGCUUUGAAACAGUACAACUUUAUCAUCUUUUUCUUUCUUCUCUGAUUUUUCUUUUUUCUUAUAGAAAAAAGUAUUUUUCUUUAUGUUUUACUUUAUUUUUUUAUUUUUUUUAUUUUUUUUUAUUUUUUUUUUCUUGGCUUCACUCUCACCCACACUUGCUCCGAGUUCUCCUUCUCCGGUGCCGGCCAAGGCUGAGGAAGAGAACGCGACGCUGUCCUCAUUACCGCCAUGGAGGGUCACGAAGGCGGUGGAGGUGGGUCGAAGAGGAAAAAAGAAACGAGAAAAAAAGAAGAGGAAGAGAACGUGAUGUUACUCUUUUUACUGUUGUAAAGAAUUAGGGAUGUGCUGGAGAAGGUUUGGAGAGAAAGAGAGAAAAAAAAAGAGUCGUGGCGCGGUCGGAGGCGAGGAAGGCGGAGGGAGGGUGCAGGCGAGGGCGAGGGCAUGCGGGACAGAGGGGAGGCGGCCGCCUCCGCCUCUGCCACCCUCGUCAGAGAGAGAAAAAAAAGAAUGAGAAGAAGAAAAAGAGAGAGAAAAGAGAAUAAAGAUAUUUUGGUCAAAUUUUUAAAAAUUCAGUCUGAAUCUGAAAAAUUCAAAAAAGUAGUAUACUUCUGCAAAAGUUCAAAACUAAUGAAUUUUUUAUGCAAACUGGCCUUUUUGUUUUUUUGACUGCUUUUGCUAUAUAUGUUUGGAAAGAAAGGAAGUUUGGGGUUUACAAAAAAACCUUCUUCACGUAUAAUUUCCAUCAAGAAAUCUCCCUAUGUUAUUGGUGAUGGUGAGGGUUGGUUUGGCUCAUGCCUCACAGAGUGCCUUUUUUUUUUUUUUUUAGAUUUAUGGACUCUUGAUGAGCCUUUACAAGGGUUGUUUGGAUUCUUUAAGGCUGCGUUUGGUUUGGAAGGAUAUCCCAGAACGAUAGAGGAUAUCCUCCUUUGUUCAACCAAACAACAGCAAAAAAGCACAAAAUGGGUUGUUCCGGACUUAACGGGUUAUUCGAGAAUAACCCGUUAAGCCUUGUUCUGGCCAUUCUGCAGAACAAGAGCGGACAAAAAAAAGUUGCACUUUUCAUUUCCUAAUUUUACCCAUCUGCCUCUCUAAGUUAAUUUGCACUUUAAAUAAAUUCAAACAAAUGCUAAAAUGGAAUGCUACUAUGUUAAUUUUUCAAAGGUGAUUUUUUCACAUAAUAAAUAUUUGAAGUAAACAGCUUUUCUAUAUUUAAAAUUAUAUAAUUAUAUAUAAUUUUAAUUAUUUGUUAUAUUAUAUAAUUAAAAAAAAUUUUAUAUCUAUAUUUAUAAUUAUAGCUUUAUAUAUUAAUUUUAUCACUAUUCUCAAACAUUGAAAUAUUUACUAAAUAGUCCAUAACAUAUUUGUCACGCCCUGGAUUACUCGUUUCCCUGGGCNGUGGCGCAGCCUUGGCGGGGUCGGAGGCGAGGAAGGCGGAGGGAGGGUGCGCGGGCGAGGGCGAGGGCGAGGGCGAGGGCACGCGGGACAGAGGGGAGGCGGCAGCCUCCGCCUCUGCCACCCUCUUCGGAGAGAAAGAAAAAAAAGAACAAGAGAAAGAAAAAGAGAGAGAAAAGAGAAUAAAGAUAUUUUGGUCAAUUUUCUAAAAAUUCUGUCCGAAUCUGAAAAAUUCAAAAAGGUAGUAUAUUUUUGCAAAAGUUCAAAACUAAUGAAUUUUUUAUGCAAAUUGGCCUUUUUGUUUUUUUGACUGCUUUUGCUAUAUACGUUUGGAAAGAAAGGAAGUUUGGAGUUUACAAAAAACCUUCUUCACAUAUAAUUCCCAUCAAGAAAUCUCCCUAUGUUAUUGGUGAUGGUGAGGGUUGGUUUGGCUCAUGCAUGCCUCAUAGAAUGUCAUUUUUUUUUUAAGAUUUGUGAACUCUUGAUGAGUCUUUACAGGAAUUAUUUGGAUUCUUUAAGGCUGCGUUUGGUUGGAAGGAUAUUCCAGAACGAUAGCGGAUAUCCUUCUUUGUUCAACCAAACAACAACACAAAAGCAAAAAAUGGGUUGUUCCGGGCUUAACGGGUUAUUCGAGAAUAACCCGUUAAGCCUUGUUCCGGCCAUUCUGCAGAACAAGAGCAGACAAAAAAAUUUGCACUUUUCAUUUCCUAAUUUACCCAUCUGCCUCUCUAAGUUAAUUUGCACUUUAAAUAAAUUUGCACUUUAAAUAAAUUCAAACAAAUGCUAAAAUAGAACGCUACUAAGUUAAUUUUUCAAAGGUGAUUUUUUUACAUAAUAAAUAUUUGAAGUAAUCAGCUUUUAUAUAAUUGAAAUUAUAUUUUUAUAUCUAUAUUUAUAAGCAUAUCUUUAUACAUUAAUUUUAUCACUAUUCUAAAUAUUUAUUAAAUAUUCUAUAAAAUAUUCGAGGGAAAAAUUAUCAUUCUAUUUAAAUUUUAUCAAUUCAAUAUCUUAUUCCAACAUAAACAUCCAAACACUAUUAGGAAUAUCCUCCGGGAAUAAACAAUUAACAUUUAAAUGCAAAUUUGUAGUUUGAACAACAAAAGUUAUCCUUCAGAAUUUAGUUCUCAAACCAAACACAGCCUAAGAUUCUCCGUAAAAGAGCAUAUGUUCCCUUGUCAAUUUCCAAAUAUUGACUAUAGUAUUAACUUUCUGAGCAUCUAGUAGUCCAUUGUCAAGUCGUUCCAGAAAUUGAUUACUUUGAUUGGGAGAAAUCCUGUAGGCAAAUUCACUCCGAACUAGUUUGGUACAUUAAUUGCCGAAUUAAACAUUAGGCUAGUAUGCCGCCGAACAGAAAUGUAUGCGGUGGCUACGUACACAAAACUCUCGAAAAGCUCAUGAUAUAUAUUUAGGUACACACGUCUCCACCAUGCGCAGCCCAACCUGUUCGCUUACCCGAAUCCUCUCUACGGUAAGCAAACAGAGGUGAGCCAGACAGAAAGACAGAGAGAGUUGCUCCAGCCUCGAGUACAGUGAAAGAAAGCUUCACUGCAGGUUCGUCAUUUCUUUCUCUGUUCCCCCGGCCCUCCGAGUUAUCGACUAAAUGUGACGAUGAUCUAGUCUAGUAUUACAAGUCCGUAACUAAACACAACUCCCUUCUCAGAUUACAAUUAAUUGAUCGAUUAACGAUAAUCCUACGGCCGAACCCCGUUGCUGCCGUUGCUUGCAUUGUUAUUAUAACUACUAGGCUUCUUAACGUAAUCGCCGUCGCCGUCUUCGACCCCGUAAUCGGCGUCGUCGUCCAUGAAGCGCUUCCAGAACCAGUGCUGCUUCCACACCCUCUCGGUCAUCUCCUCGAUGGGCACGUUCUUGGUCUCGGGGAGGAGGAAGAGCACGAAGAGCGACAUGACGACGACCCACGCGGAGAAGAAGGCGAAGAUGCCGUACUUGAGGCUGCAGAGCAUGGAGAGGAAGGCCUGCGCGAUGACGAACGUGAAGAGCAGGUUGGCGCACACCGUCACGCUCUGCCCGGCCGACCGCGUCUCCAGCGGGAACGUCUCGCUGGGGAUCAGCCACCCGAGCGGCCCCCACGACCACGCGAACGACGACACGAACGUGCACACCAUCACCACCACCAGCACCGCGUACCCGCGGCUGAGGUCGUCCGAGUGGUCCGUCACCUUUAUCCCCAGCAACACCGCGAUCACCACCUACACGUACGGCACACGUACAUACACACAGUUCAUGCAUGAAUAUAUACAUUAAUUCAUACAUACAUACAUAUACAUACAUACGUGUUGUAUAUAUAUACGUGUUGUCUAACAUCAUCAAUCAAUUACGAAUAAAAGUUACGUAACGUAACGUAACACGCGUACCUGCGAAAGAAACAUCUGCACCCCGGCCUCGAGCAGUAGCAUGCGGCGGCCGAUGCGGUCGACGGAGUAGAUGGAGACGAGCGUGGAGAGGACGUUGACGGCGCCGGUGAUGACGGCGGAGUAGAGGGCGGCGUCGCUCUUGAAGCCGAGCGUGUUCACCAGCUGCGGGCGGUUGCGGCGCUGCAGCAGGUUGCGGAAGGGGUGCUUCACGCGCUGGGCCGCCCGGCUCGCCGCCAGGAUCUCCUCGAAUUCGNUCACCAGCUGCGGGCGGUUGCGGCGCUGCAGCAGGUUGCGGAAGGGGUGCUUCACGCGCUGGGCCGCCCGGCUCGCCGCCAGGAUCUCCUCGAAUUCGGGCUCGAUGUUCGGGGUGCCCCGGAUCCGGCGCAGCACCGCCUUCCCUUCCUCGAGCCGCCCGCGCUCGAUCAGGCUGUUCGGAGUGUCCGUCACCAGAAGAGACCCCACCGUCAGCAGCACCGCUGGUAUGCCCGCCAGCCCCAGCGACAGCCGCCAGCCCCAUCCAUUGAUCCUGUUAUAUUAUGUUAAUUAAAUAUAAUUGUAGUUGAAAUCGAUCCCCAUCCCCAUCCCCAUCCCCAUCCCCAUCCAUAUAAACACCAAAUUUGGUUUUUCAAAAUUUUGAAUUCGGUGUUCGAGACUAAAUUGAAACUUGAUAAUCCAAAAUAGCACUAAUUAAGUUAAGUACCUAACAAUUUUUCACUUUUGACACGCUUAAUUGGAGGAGUUUGCAAAUUAAGUUGGUGGGGUAAUCUAAAAUUUCAAAUUUCGGAUCGGUUUGAUAUUCUUUCUCGCAUAAUUAAGCUUUCUCAUGAUGUAAAAGAGGCGAAAUGUGGGCCGUGCCGGGCCAGCACGGCCCACAUUUUUCGGGCCAAAUCGGGCUAGGGUCAGGCCUGGCCCGGCCCGAAUUUAAUUUCGGGCCGGGCUGGGCCGGGCCCAAUUUUUCUAUCUUCUGGCCUGGGACGGCCUUUUGGCCCGGAAGGCACGGGCCGUGCCGGGCCGGGCCGUGCUUCGGGCUGGCCUACAAAGUAUUUAUUUUUUAAAAAAUAAAUAAAUUUGUAUUAUUUAUUUAAAUUUAUAAUUUUUUAAUAUUUUAAUCAAAAUAUUAAUUUAAAUAAAAAUAUUUAUUNGCCACAGAGUCGCGGCCCAGCACGGCCCAGAGACUCGGGCCGGGCCGGCCCGGCACGGGUGCUACAGUACCCGUGCCAUGCUGUGGUCCGACCCGAGGCCGUGCCGGGAAUGGCGGCCCACGUGCCGCCCGGCCCGUUUGACAUCCCUAGGCGAAGAAUAUAUAAUACUAUUGGAUGUAGAAUCGGAGAAUGUUGAAGCAUAUAUACGUAUACAUACUUGGAAGUGCCGUAAUUGACAAGGUUUGCGAAGAGGAUGCCGAUCGUGACAUUGAGCUGGAACAAGAUGUUCAGGCCUCCGCGAAUUCUGGUGGGUGCAACCUCCGAGAGAAACAGAGGAACCGCCUGCAGCGAUUGAGCAAAUUUCAACGAAUCAGGAAAACAACAUUAAUCUUAAUCUUAAUUUAGGAACCCGAUUGUGUUGUGCAGCAUAUGGCCAUUUUUUCAGAAAUUGUUGCUUUAUAUACUAUUGAUAUGUUGACAAUCUGUGUAUUACCAAUUUUCUAUGACAUUUUUUCAUUGUGCGAAUCGAUUAUAUUUCAUGACAUUCUAAUGCCGAUACGAUUACACCAACUAUAAAUAAGAAUUAUAUUAUGAAAACCUAUUGGAGCAUGCAUGCUGUGUUAUUUGACAAACUUGCUAUUUAAAAUAAUAUUUUCUGAAAAGAAUGUUAUAUUAAAAAUUUUUUUGCAGUUCUGUUUUUUACAUAGGGAAGCAUUUAAAAUAUCAAAUUAAAGGUUCUUCAUAGACUCAAAAUUCCAUUUCUUUUGCCUCUUCAAUUAGGGUUUAUAUAUACAUACUAUACAGUGUGUGCAUGAGAGUAUUACUUUAUCACUAUUAUACAUGCACGGAAACAGGAAGACGUUAAAAUUAAUUAUGUUUAGGACUAGAAAAUGCUUGUUCUCAUUAAUUCAUUGUCUAUUCUAUCCUUGUAAAAUAAUCUUUUGGUGAAUUAUGUCAACAACAAUGCUUAAUUAUUUGUAUACUCAAAAAUGAGUGUCAUAAUUUUAUCAUAUACUGAUAUUUUUUGAUAUUUUUUUUAAAAUAUUAAAAUUCAAAGAAUAAUUAUCUAAUUUUUUAAAUGAGAUUUUCAAUGCACGAAAAGCACACUUCUCUUUUAUCAACUACCCAAAUGAAUUUCUCUACGUCGGUAGGUUCAUAAAGCAUUAUAAAAUGCAGUGUACAACGUGAGGAUGUUACACAUGGAGCAUCACAUGACAACACUACUGCAGCCGGAUCGAACUCCUAAAAUUAUAUAUUUUUUUCACAAACUAUUUUUCUAAUGCAUUGAAUCCAAAAAGAAUAUAUAGUUGAUGCUUUGCCACAUGGUACGCAGUUAUUAUUAACGUGACAGUAUUGUGGCCAUGUGAAGACACCAAAAGAAACUGCUGCUUUUAUCUUUCUUUUCUCUUUUGUCAUACAUUUGGACCCUUUAAAGAGCUUUUCUACUGAAAAGUUGAACUUUUCGUUUCCUACAUCUCCUAGAUUCUUUCCCCACAUUAUGCAUGAUUCUCUCUCUCUCUCUCUCUCUCUCUCUCUCUCUCUCUCUCUCUCUCUCUCUCUCUCUCUCUCUCACGCACUUAACUAAAACAAAAAAAAGAAAAGAAAAGAAAACCUCUACGAGCACAAGUGAUCACCUACGAUUCUAUAUAUGCAUGUAUGCGUCCCCAAUCCCUUUGCACAUGUUGUAGUUUGUAACCACUUCGUAAUACGUAUUCUAAUCAACCAAAGUCAAAUAAUACGUUCUUUUUUAUUGUUAUUGUUAUGCAUACCUAUCUCCCACCUAAGAUCAUGGAGAAUAGUGAACUAUCAUAAUAAUAAUAAUAAUAAUAAUAAUAAUAAUAAUUAUUAUUGCCAGCCAUAAAUGUUAUUUCUAAUUAGCUAAACAUAUAUAUAUACCUGGUUAGCGAAUCCGACACCGCAGCCGAGAAGAAUGCGACCGACGAUGAGCAUGGCGAGAUCUUGGGCUGCGGCGUUGAAUACGACACCGACAAGGAAGAAGAUUCCGGCGAUGAGCAUGGUGAGCCUGCGGCCGAGAUUGCGGGUGGUGUAGGACGCGAAAAAUGUGGCGGUGAGACCGGCCAGGUAGAGCGACGACGUGAACAGCUGCAGGUCCUGGUUGUUGUACUUGCAGUAGUUGCUCUCCUUGUCCUCGUGCUUUUGCCGGUACACCGUCGGAAAGAACUUUUUCAGAAAAUCGUCCAUCGAUGUCACACCGCCUUUUUUUUUUUUUUUUUUUUUUUUUUUUUUAGCAACAGGAGGACAAAGAAAUGUAUUUUAAACCAUACUAUUAUUCUCAGGAUGAUAUUUUUAGAACUGAUCAAUAUUAAUUAUGAUAUUAUCUUAUUGAAUUAUGCCACUAUUUUAUUUACGGACUGUAUUUGUUGAUCAAAUUUAAUAAAUUUGAUCUGCUUUUGAUAAACAUAAAUUUGCUAAUUGUUUAUAAAGCCUAGCUAGAAAGAUGGCAAGUUAAUUAUAUGUCACCUUUCAAAUCAUAGAGUCUAAAAGAGCUAAUUAAUUAACCAUAUAAUUUUAAUUGAAGCUAGUUUACUAUAAAUUCAACAUAUUUGAUCUGUUCCCAGUUAAAAUAUAUAUGCGUGUUAACACAUAUAAUUUUGUGUAGCUUUAACAUAGCAUGCAUCUCUCGUGGAUAUAAUCUAAAAGUAUAAAUAUCAUACAAAAAGAAAUGCUACUUAGCAUAUAAUGUACACCUUUUAAUCGAAGGCGCCAUCACUGAACUUUUUAUGCGUACAGGUGGUGAACUCAACUGUGAAGGCUUUUGCUUUUCAUGGUACGGAAAUUUUAAUUAAUUAUCCACUUUAUUGAAGAAAAUGAAAUAAUUAUUUAUCUUUAAGCCCAAAUAACAGUAUUUUAUUUUAUUUUUUUGUGUCCCUCAUAUGUCUGCUUAGAUUUAUCUCUAAUGUCAUAUUAAAAAAAAUGGGCAUUUUAAUGCCAUGUUAGAAAACUGUAUUAGAAACUUAAGCCGCUAAAUAAUUAAACGGUGUUUUAUAUUAUUUAUCAAGAGAAUGAUUUUUUAAUACUUACGUGUAUGCAACACUGAUCACUCACCUUUUGGGCUCUAGUACUAUAUUAAAGAUAUAAAACUACCAUUUAUCUUGAAAACUUUAAGUGGCAAGAGAACGAUUUUUAAUACUCUACAUUCAACAAAUUCUAGAAAAAGAUUUUGAGAGAAAAAAGAAUAUUAAGCAGUGGCAAUAUAUAUAACUUAAUUACAUGAAAGAACAACUCGUAUUUUAGUAGUUAAAAAAAAAACCCCACCCUUAAAUCCACUUAAAUUUUGACAUUUGUGAAGUACCAAAUUGCACUAAAUUAAAUUCAAACGGGUCUGUGGCUUUUGUAAUUAUUUGUCUUUUGUCCUAUAGAUUAAUUAUCUCUAGCCCAUGCAUAUAGACUUUUAAUAAAAUUAACGAGUGGUGUAGCUAAUUUUUCCGAAAAAGACAAUUAAUAGGUUUUACAUAUUUGUUAUUUUCACAAAAAAGUCCAUGCACGUGAUCUACUUUGUGGACAAGCGCUUUUAGUCCAAGUAUAUUUUCCUCUCAUAAUUAAGGAGAAUAAAUUAUAAAAUAUAUACGACUGGUCUAGACAAAAAACUUAUGACGUAGUUCCAAAUUUGGAUUAGGAUGUUUUAGACUCGUUUUCCCGUCAAAGUAGGUGGCUUUGACAAACGUGCACAGUAACAAAAAAAAACGCACAAAAAAAAUAAUUUUUUAUAUGAUAUUAUAUAUAUAUAAAAAAGCGAAAGCAUAUUUUUGCUUGGUAGUAUAGCAAGCUGAACUGUUGACACGACACAUGACAAUUUUAUUUAACACAAUUAAUAUAAUAUUUAUUUAUAUUUAAAAAUUUUGAAUAAAACAAAGAUUUGGAUAUGUAAUUAGUACAUCUAUUUAAAGCUGUCUCUAAUAUAUAGUUUUAUCAAAUUUUAUUUUAAAAAUAAUCAUUGGAGAUAAUUACACUUUAAAUUUUUAAUAAAUUAGAUUAACGAAAUUCUUUCCUUAAAAUUAAUUUAUUUUUUAAAUAAAAUUUUACAAAUGCCGGUGUAAUCAGGUUACUUUCUAGGAAUUAAUAAUAAGUUUUCAAAAGUUUCCUUUUCUCCCUUUUUUUUGUUCUCAUUACUUUAUGGUUUCCAAUACAUGCUCCUUACACUACACACACCCACCCACCAAUAAUAAUCCAUAUAUAUUCUCUCUCUCUCAAAAAAAAAAAAAAAUCCAUAAAUAUCAUACAGUAUAGUAAACAUAUAUAAGGGCCUAUAUAUUUAGUCGACCCACUACUAAUAAUUAAUAUUUAGAACUAGCUGGCGCCUAUAUUUCACAGGGAAAAAAAAAGUUUAAAUUUUUGUUACAGGGAAAUACAAAAUUUCCUACAAUUUUCCAUAUAUAUGACGCUUCUAAUUUUACUCCAUGCGGAAAGUUAAAACAUACGAUUUAUAUCCUUAAGACAAAAAAAUAAAAAUAAAAAAACAAGCUAAAUCGCUUCUCAAUUUUCUCUUUUAUUCAAGUAAUUAAAUUAAAUUAAAUUAAUCAUCUCGAAGAUGUGUACGUAUGCAAAUGAUAAAUUACCUCGGUUGGCCACAAUUAAUAUUUCCAUGCCCCACACGUGAAGCCACGCCAGAAUUAUCAUAAGAGGAGGAGUAGGAAAAAAGCAAAAUAAAAAAUAUUGUACCUUUUUUGAAGUAUUAAUUGGACAAUACUUUACAAAAUAUAUACUUCCAUAUUUAAUUAACUAAAUUUUUAUUAAAAAAAUAGAAAAAUGCUAUAUGUACAUCAUAUUAGUAAAGUAUAAAUCGAACAUCAUGCAUCGAUCUAACCAGUAAAAUAAAACAUUAAUAUAACUAGUACAUAAAUAUGAAUUUUUCCAUAAAGAAAUCAACAACCAUAUGUCUCUCCCCCUUCCAUGAAACUAAGGAGAAGUCAUCAUUUCAUUAUUAUUAUUAUUAUUUGUCAUGCUAUUUUAUUUAAAUAUAGAAAAAGAAUAUGUCUAUAUAUAUAUAUAUAUAUAUAUACACUCUAUGUUCAAAUCCGUUAUUCCUCACAAAAUAUGCAUCUUUUCUUAUGCAAAUGUAAAGAUUAAAAAAAAAAAAAAAGGAUAAUGAUAAGAUGUCUCACCUGAUAUGCCGACGUCGUAGCCGAACAUCAACCCUCCGGUGGCGGCCAUGAUGCAGGAGAUGAUAACGAUCGGCGUGAUCUUCGCCUCGAACUCCGUCCCGGCCGGAGCCGCCACCGAGAACCCUCCCGCCGGCAUCCUCGAUCCGACGAGAUGAUCAAGAUAGCCUUAAUUCCUUAUCGGAUGACGAACAAACCAUACAGAAUUUUCCAGCAGAUGCAACGAAGACCUUAGAACAAGAACCUUGACCUCCUUCAUAUAUAUAUAGCUGCUACCAAAGUAUGUAAUGAUAGAUACAGGAGAUAAUGUGUGGUGCAAUUUGUGGACUUACAAACGGCGUGGGGUCCCUGUCGCGGAGAAAUUUCAAACAAGAUUCGACGUCUGAGAUCACGCCACGUGGGCGAAUCUUGUGGGCUCCCACACUAAUGUGCAUGUGGUUGACAGGUCAAGCGACGACUCUCCUUUAUAUAUAUUAUACAUAUAUAUAUAUAUAUAUAUAGAUAUAUAUAUACGUGGUGGUCCAAAAUUUUGUGUGGUGAGUCACCCCCACCGUGAUUUUGGGUUUACAUACAUAUAUAUUAGUAUUUAUUUACUUGUGGAACAUGAAAAUUGUUGUUCUCACAAGUAAAUAGAAUAAUAAUUAAGAGCUAUUUUUUACAUCUGAAACAUAAAUAUAAUUUAAAUUCUAGAAUAAUGGGGGUGUAAGAUAUACGCGCGUAUGUACAACGUAUAAAAGAAUGCAAAAAGGUUAAACCAUGGUUAAUUAACAUAUACGACUUCCGCGGCGAGUCACUUUUGUGCGGUGUCACGCAAACCAUGAUGUGGAAUUAUUAUAGCUUAUUUAUUUAUAUUUUUAGGAGUUAGUUGUAUUUGACUAUGGAAAUUGUUGUUCCACACGAAAUUAGAAAAAUAGUUAAUACCCAAUAAAUAAAGAGCAAUGCUAGCUAUUUGUACACUUUUAAUAUAAAUAUAUAAAUCUUACAUCCUAAUUUUUAAAAAGUGAAGAUUUAUUCAAUUUUGUUAUUAACUUUUUUUUAAAAUAUUAAGAUCCUACAUGAGAUUUUUAAAUCCUAAAACUAUGGGACAGAAAGAUAUAUAUUCCAUAGUAGAGUGUACAGAUAGAUGUUUUUUUUUUUUUUUUUUUUUUUUUUUUUUGAGAGAGAGAUAGGUAGCACGCUACCCGUUUUGUUUUAUUUUAUUUAGAAAUAAACUUAGCUGGAAAUGUGAAUCAAUUAGGAUUCAAACUUGGAACCUCGAAUAUCAACCAACAAGCCCUUUGGCACUUACUCUAGGGACGAUCGGUUACAUAUAGAAUUUUUCAUACAUAUAUAAAUACUAAGGUUUGUUGACUACAAGCAAAAGAAAUACUAAGGUUUGUUGACUACAAGCAAAAGAAUGAGGAGAAAUUUCCACAACGUGAUGUGGGCUUUAAUCUGCGGAGUUUUGAGGAUGAGGUAUGUUCUGGGUAGCUCUGAAUGUAUCCUACCAUAUAUAAUACUUUUCGGUCGGAUUCGUAUAUAUGACAGUUUUUUUGAAGGUUUUAGCUUUUAAAAAUUAAUAUUCCACUCAGUGUACAUUAACCAUCGUGACAAACAAUGACUCUUCAAAUUCUUAAACUACUAAAAAACAGUAUUUUUGAUAUUUUAUUCCAUGCUCUUCCUCGUUGUGGACUCAAGAUUUUAAUAAGGGCAAGAUGUCGGCUUCAAUUAGAUGAGAGAAAAUUAAAUGACUAGCAGCAUGGCUGGAUAUGAAUUUAGAAACUUCUUUUGUAUGUUAUGUUAAAUAAUGUGAAGUAAAUGUUGUUCUCCAAAAAUUUAAGCUAUUAGAAAAUAAUAAUUUCAAUAUUUAAAUUGUAUACCCGGAUGAGCGGAACCAUUCAUAAAUUAACAUUUGCACUCAAUUAAGGACUUGUUUUCUUCACCUAUUAUAUACUAUUGAAUUGGAAUGUGAUUCGCUAUUUUUUAUAGCUGUUGUUUGUUUUAUAAGAAUCAAAUUGUGAUUCUUAUUCCACUCUGUAAUAAUGAAAAUGAUCUAAUCUAUUUAUGGUCCAAUUCGAUUUGAAUCCUGGUUUAGCACAUUCCAUAAUAACCACACAAAACUCUAUCUCACAAACACCACGCCACUCUCUCCCUUGAUCACUUUCCUUUUCCUUAAGUAAAAUUCCUCUCUCAAAAUCCUAGGUGUCCAACUGUCAAUUCUAAUUUUUAUUCUAAUAACAAACCAAAUAUUUUUGAAUGAUUUCGUCAUUCUAUUUCUCAUUCCAAUGUAAUCAAAUUCUAUUUUUCAUUUCUAAUCCAAAACCAUGAACCUUACAUACCCUAAAAUAUUUUGGUUGAUAUAAUCUGGUAUUUUUAAAGUACCCAUUGCAUAUAUUACUCCCUCUGGAGAGUGGGUAAGCCUGGUGAUUGGUGAUUGCUCAAAUAAGUCGAAAGCUUGGGGGAAUGGUUAAACCCUGACAAUGCCAAACAUCAACCUACCAACUAACAAGGGCUUGCUUGACCUGGCAUGCAAGGUGAAAUGCUAAUUAAGUAAUCUCUUCAGAAUAUGUAUAUAUGCUCUACAUCUCUCAGUAGUGUUUGUUUUUUAAACUGUCAAAACUAUCAAAUUGGAGUUCGUGCUUUUAAGACUCGGAAUUUUAUUUCUACUUUCUGUUACUCGAUUGAAGACCGUUGUUGUUGCAAGCAAAGGCAAAAGCAAAAAAUUCUGUAACUUAGCACUUUAGUCGGACAAAAUAGAAAUAAGCUCAGUCGAUAUGUAGGCAAACUAUAACUAUCCAUCUGUAGUGUAGUGAAAGAUGUUCAAUUACAUCUAGAAGUGCCGAAAUGUGCAAAGAAAUUAUUGCUUUUAAGGAAUUAAAUGGAAGAAGAAGGAGAUGUCAACAGCAGAGACGUCAAGGAGAGGGAAGGAGGUGGAGACAGCAGAGACGUCGAGGAGAGGGAAGGCGGUGGAGACAGCAGAGACGUCAAGGAGAGGGAAGGCGGUGGAUAGGUCAAGGGCGUAGUCGGGGACGCCAACAAGAAGAGCGAAGGUGGGGGGACGUCGGAUCUUUUCUGUUGCAUAGAGAAGAAGGAACCUCGACACUGGGUAGGAUCUCGAAGCAAAUCUGCCCGAUUCCACUCCCCUAAUCUAGACCCUGAUCUAGAGCGGAGGUUCUAGGGGCUCAAGUGAAAAUUUGGUAACAACAUUACGUCGGCCACCUUCCAAAUUAACUUUUGCUGCAACAGUAGUACCUCCCUUAAGAAGGUUAUCUGGGCGAACACGGUUAGACUAGCUUUAACCUAGGUCCGCACUGAUGAACAUCCUUUACCCAUUGGACUAAGUAUUGCUCCCAAACUGGGAACAAAGACAAGCAGUGGACCAGCAUGCAGUAUAAAAAGAAGAGACUAGCUGCUACACCUGUGAAGAAAUCUUACAGGGAGGCUCUUCUCUCCCCCGCCCCAACCUCUCUCCCUUGCACCCCCACAAUGCCUUUACCUUACUACCAAAUUGGGCAAAUCCUUCUUCAAAGGAAGGUGCUUCAGGUGCUUAGGGAGAGACCACAGAGCCUCCCACUGUCGAGAUCCAAUCCGGUGUGCAAGGUGCUUCAAAGUGGGACACAAAGCUCGAACCUGCAUGAAUCGUCUGCCAAUGAACAUCUAUAGAGGCAUGCGCGCUCAUCCGGCUUACUUGAGCGCCUUCAUUCUCCUUUUUGGAGACUUCUUCAUCUAGCAAAAUCGUCGUCGAAAUGUGAUACUCAUCGAUAUGGUCCCCUUCGCGAACCCCAGCCCUCAGGAAACAAUCGCUAACGGGCUAGCGAGUCGCUUUGGCUGUUACCCGAUGGACUUCCUAGUCGCCCGAUAUAGUGAAAGGGAUUAUGUCAUUUUCCUUCCUGAGUGGGUCCAGUGUGAGCAUCUUAUCCAAAGAGACUCCAUCAUUCUGGGAGAUUUUAGGCUAAGAUACUUCACUUGGGACUCAUAUAGGGGUGCUAGACAUCCUCGAUUUCCCUACAAAGCCUGGAUCCAACUAGUGAGCCUCCCUUAUGAGUGCUAGUCUUCCCGCACUGUGGUGACGUUAGUAGGCAACUUCGGUAGGUUCAUCAGGGCGGAUGACUUCACAACGCAUAUGGUCGACCUCUCUGGUUACUGAUGCCUCGUCGCUAUGAACCACCUGUCAGACAUCCUUGAGAAUCUAGAAAUCACUUUUGGUAACAUCUCUAUGACCGUUUUGAUUCAACUAGAAAGAUGGGAUUAAGGCGGUUUCGAUGGCUGCGGUAACCCCUCUCCACCUUACAACGAAAGAUCAGACAAUCACGACCCAGACGAGAGAUCUUACGAUAUUGAUCGCCGCAAUAAUAGGGAAGGUAAGGGGAGACGCUCGACGGACAUAAUUGAUUCGAACCACGACCACUUCUGGAACUCCUCCGAAAUCAAAGAUUGAAGACGCGAAGCCCCUCCUGCCGAUCGCACUACACGGCGAGCUUCAUCGGCCCUGUUGGGCUCCCUUACGCUGAGGGUGGAGAGAGUGUCGGGCUCCUUUGCGCUGAGGCUGGAGAGAGCCGUUGACGUACUUCCGGUCGGCGGAGCACCCGUUGAUCAAUCAUCUCUUAUGUCAAAUUCUUCUAAGUCUACCAUUUCCUCUCCUGUGCAACCUGUCCCCAACAUUGGGCAAAGCGACGGAAUGUCAGAAUGCUCUAUCCCUGCUAAAUCAUCCCUGCAUGUCUCCUUUUUCAAUUCCUUACCUUUUGUUUCUCUAAAAAAGGCCCACCAACCAGGGUGUUGUGAUUUGAGCCUGAUAGACGGAAACAAGGAGACUUUGGAGUCCUUGGAACACAGCUGGGGUAUUAAUUAUGGUAGUCUUUUUUCUACCUCAGGCCCCUUAAUAUCUCGUAUCUGGUUCGAAAAAGGUAUGUUUACUUUGGGAAUCGACUCAACCGGACAUAAGUGAAUUCUCUCUCUCUUCACUUGCUCGGACAAGGACAAGUGGGGCUCAGGUUCAACUUGGGCUUCACUCUAGGCCCCUUCGCCCCUGUUUCUGUAGUCCACGGUCAAGGCUCGGAAAUGACUUUCCUUUGCUAGCAGAUAACGUCAACUUUAGGGAAUUUUGACUCUGCCCCUGCGUCCGCGUCUCCUGUGGAUGUUUCAACAACUGCUAAUCACCCCCACCUGAAUGGUUGGCAUAUGGGACUAAGAUUUCACCAGGAGCUAGCUCUCGACUUCUCCAUCAAAAGAAGAACAAUGUUUUAGAUAGGGUGAUGUUCAGGAAAGGUAGACUUCGAAAGGGCAUGACUAUUGGCUUUGACAAGACUGCUUGCAAGCCGUUUGACAAGAAAAUUAAAAUGAAGAGCUACCAAUGCAACCCCAGCCUAUUAGAUGAUGAAGUUAAGGAGUUCCAAUGGUUCUUAACCAUUAGAGCCUAGUUGCUGGUCGUCUCCACCUGUGUCUGUCUUAAUGUGUUUUGUCCUUUUUGAUGAUAAACAUUUUCAUUUGGAAUGUGCGAGGUCUCAACGACCUUUGCAAAAGAUGUCUGGUCAAAUCAGUAGUGGCUAAACUUUAACAUGCUAUUGUUUGUCUUCAAGAAACUAAAGUGGAUUUAGUGUCUCACUCUUUUCUUCAUUCCUGUUGUGGCUUAGGUCUCGACAAAUGCCAUUAUCUAUCAGCUUCAGAGGCCUCUGGUGGUAUAUUUACAUGCUAGAGUUCUAAUCUCUUCUCCUUUAGAGAUGUUAUCAUGAGACGACACUCCCUUACUUUUCUCUUCUUCUACCUUACAAGUGGCAAGGCUUUCUAUCUCAUGAAUGUUUACAGCCCGCCUACCUGGGAUGAAAAGGAAGAGUUCUGUUCGGAACUUCUCCCUCUCAAAAACUCUGCCCCAACCACUGGAUUAUCUAUGGGGACUUCAACAUCACCAAAAAUCAAUCCGAAUGAAAUGAAAAUGCUUGGAGUAGAAAAGUUAUGGCCGCAUUCUCAAACCUCAUUAAUGCCCUAGAUGUUAUUGAUCUACUUUUGACGAACCAAUUCUUUACUUAGUCGAACAUGCAACACAAACCCACCCUUACAAAGCUUGAUAGGUUCCCCAUCUUCACUGAAUGGUGUUAGGAUUUAGUUAGAUUUGUAGUUAAAUCCUAUUUGGAUAAGAAUUAAUAUUUAAAUCUGUUUGAGAUACAUUAAGAUUUAAAUAUUAAUUAGAGGAUAAACCUAACUAGAUUAGGAUUAAUAUUUAAAUCUAUUAGAGAUUGAUUAAGAUAGAUUUAGAUAUUAAUUAAAGUCGAAAUGCUAAAUAUAUUAGAAUUGGGUACAUCUUUGGUUGAGCAUUAUAUAUAAUGCAUUAGAGGCGUGGAGAAGGUACGGCUAAUUAAUUAGUAGAGAGGCUUGUGAAGUACGGUUGAGAGCCUUGAGAUGCCGUACCAGAGAGAGAAAAAGAGAGAGAGAGUUAUUGAGUGCACCUAGGGUACGGGUGCGCGUGGAUGAUUGUCUUCUUUAUGGGUUUAUAGAAGACGAGAGAAGGGUAGAAGAGAUUCAAUAAAGAGGGCUCGGUUGUAGCUACUCUGUACAGAAGAGGAGUCAGGUGUAAUCUUCUCUUAUUUAAUGAAUCUUAUUUUACCUGCAUAUUUUUCUCUUUUAUGAUUGUAUCAGCUUUUGCUGAGGAGACGGGUUUAUGGUAAAAACCCGAUUUAACAUUUCCGUUGCGGAAUCCCAACAAUCGGUACCGGAUUCACAGCAGUCGGUAUCGGAGCGGGUUACGGAUUUACGAGAUCCGGCACCGGGGCGAGUACCGGAUUCCUAACAAAUUGGACCAGUCGUUUCCUCUCUGCAAGGUUAAAGCCCUCCCUAGGAUCACCUCCGACAACACACUGAUUCUCCUGUCCACGAGGCUACAAUCUGUGCCUUGAAGGUUUCAGUUUGGCUAACAAAAAAAGACUUUCUUACCAAUGUACCACUCUGAUGGAAUGAAAUCCCUGCAAAGAAUUCGGCUAUCUUCACUUUAACCGCUAAAUUAAGGCAUUGCAAAAUCCAAAUACAGGAAUGGUGUAAAACUAAUGUUUACAGUAUAGCUUUAUACAAGAAGCAGCUACUAGAGGAGCUACAUAAAAUCGACAUUCUUGAGAAACUACAGGACGUAACCUAGGAUUUUCUAGACAAAAGAGCUGAUCUCAAAAGAAAGCUACAACUACUGAUAGAGGAGGAAGAGAUCCUUUGAAAAACUCGAGCCAAACAGUGUUGGCUAAAAGAAGGUGACGACAAUACCAAGUUAUUCCACGUGGUGGCUAAUGGACGAAAAUGUGCCAACACGAUUGAUGUAAUAAAAGACAAAAGGCGACAAAUAAACAACGAAGAGCACAAGAGAUCCUACUUCUUCCACAAAUUCAAGCAAUUGUUUGGAAUGCAAGAUGCCAUAUCAAAAUCCCAUGGAGACUGGAGUGCGCUUUAUCAGACCAACAGACUACUAACCCUCGACCUGCUAAUGGCCCCGUUCUCUAUCGAGGAGAUCAAGACUGCAACCUUUUAAUGAGGAGGUGAUAAGGCACCUGGGUCAGACAAUUUCUCACUUAUCUUCUUUCAAACUCUAUGGAAAACUAUCAAAGAGGACUUUCUCAAAAUCUUCACCAACCUUCAGGAGGACCGAGUUAGUUAAUUCGGAUUCAGCAAAAAUUCGGUACGGGUAUAAUUUGGUUAAAAUUCGUCUUCUAAUGUUUAAAUUCGUUAAAAAAUACGGCUAAAAAACGGAUUCGUUAAUUAUUCGGAUACGUGAUUUAUACGGAUAUUAUACGUUCACCAAUCAAAAAUUCGGANCGCACUACCCGAAAACGGUACCAAUUUGGUCCAUUUCGAGGGCGGCGGGCGUGAUGCCGAACGGACAGAGUCUCCCCUGUCCGCCCAAGGCUAACCAACCAGAUUGUGUACAACAAGUCCCUAGGAAUACAACUUGAAUUCAUACACAAUCAAGCAACUGCAAACAAGAGCACAAACAGUGCUAUUUAUCAACAAGAGCAAGCGAUACAAGUAAGAAGCAUACAAGUAUAUAAAAGAGAGAAACUUAACUAUUUGAGACAUAAUUGAAAUAUUUAACUUCUUUCGAUAUCAUUUAAACUUUAAUCAUUUAAUACAACUUGCAUUUUCUUCCCAAAUGUAAAUAUAUUAUAUACUCUCCAAAACCUCACCCUAUACAACAUCUACACUCAAAAUAUAAGAACAGGGUGGAACUAAUGCAAGUAGAAAAGUAAGCUAUCAACUGAUACUGCUAGGGCGCUAAGCCCUUGCCGCGAUCCUCCCGCUCGGUCGGGACGCUCAAACUAGCACCUGCAACAAGGGUGUGAGAACUACGAAUAGUUUCCAGUGGGUUCGGCCGCCGACUCCGCCGAUCUACCCACUAGGUCUUAAGCAGGCAUAGAGAUAUAUAUAUAUAUAUAUAUAUAUCCAAUGUAUGUAAAACUAAGCUGAACGGAAAGCAGGUAUGUGAAACAGGUAUAUCAAGCUAUGCCUCAAUCUGAUAUCAUGGAUGCAUGAGCAAUAAAUAAAGCUGGGUAAGUAAGCAACUAUGAACGACAACAACAACUANGGCCACCUCGUGGACUGUGCACAACUAUACUUCCAAAUGCUGAAGAGGAACGGUCCACGAGGCAGUGGCCUCGUGGACCGUGCGUGACUGCCCCUAAGUGCCUUGUCUCUUCGUCUUCCUCCGCCGAACUCCCUUUUGUUCUCCAAAAAAACCCUUUUCGAACUACCAAACCUGGGGAAAAGAAUUUUUCAACCAAAAUUUUUUUUUCGGAGGGAUUUUAUAUAGAUUCAAACACUCGCGAGUUCGGCGACGAGAGCGGCAGAGGAGGAGGACGACGAAGACGACACGGACGAGUUGGCGACGAGAGCGGCAACGGCGCUACCCGCGAGUCUAGCCACCGCCGUUUUUUUGAGGCGAAUCGUUCGCGAAUCGCGAAUAAUUCGCGGAUAAUUAUUUUUGAUAAAAAAACGUGAUUUUUUUUUUUUAAUUUUUCUGAAAAAUACUGAUACGAGCGUUUAAUUCGGUUAUUGAAAAAUUCACGAAUAAUUCCCGAAUUAAACCCGAAUUAACUAACAGAGCUCUUUACCGACCUGACCGACUAUUCAUUUGCCUGCUUAAUCCCUAAAAAAGAAGAACCUUGUAGGGCCAAAGACAUUCGGCCAAUCAGUCUUAUUAAUAAAAUUCAAAAAGUUAUCUCCAAAACUCUGGCCAACAGAAUUCCUCAGGUGUUGCCAUCCAUUAUUGCACCUAUGCAAUCAGCUUUUCUAAAGGACCGCCUAAUGUCAAACUUGUUCGUCACAGCAUGUGAAUAUUGGUUGGUGCUCUAAAACUGGAGCGAAAUAUGUAAGCAUAGAAGCUAACUUUGAAAAGCUUUCGAUAACGUCAGGUGGUCUUUUCUAAAGAGCAUAUUGUCAUGGCUAGGAUUCAGUAAUAAAUGGUGGAACUGGGUCGAACAGUAUAUUAGUAAUAACAAAGUGGCCAUUCUAGUAAACAAGACACAGAACAAGUAGAUGAAAAUAAAAAAAAGCCUCACUCAAGGUGACCUCUCUCCUCCUAUCACUUUUUGCUUGUGGCUGAUUGUCUUUCAAGGUUGACUAAAAUUGCCGGGAGAAACAGCAUUGUCUGUGGAAUUGGCCCAUCUGAAGAUUGCAAUAUGUUCUUAUUCAAUACGCCGAUGAUACAAUCUUCUUUUGUAAGCUCAGGAAAAGCAUCUUGUGAAACAUUUGCUUCAUUUGGAAGAUCUUUGAAUGGACCUCAAGACUUUGGAUCAACAAAGACAAGUCUGAAAUGUACUAUUUAGGAAAAACCCCUCACAAAGUAACCCAACUAGCUAACAUUCUAGGAUGCAAAGUAGGAAAUCUUCCAAUCUACUACUUGGGGUUACCCCUGUUGAACAAGCUUUUAAAAAAGGAGGACUAAGCCAACAUCAUUAACCGUAUUGACAAUAGAAUCAAAGAGUGGAAAGUGAAGCUUCCUUCCUAAGGGAGAAGACUCAUUCUAGUCAACUCAGUUCUCACUAACCUGUCGCUACAUUUCUUCUCCAUCUUCAAAGCCCCAUAGUGGGUACUUCAACAUAUAGAAGCUUUAAAAAGAGCCUCCUUUUGAAAAGGCUACUUCAAAAUGGGGGGGUAUGUCUGGUGAGCUGAAAAACUGUAUGUAAAAGCAAGAAAGAAGGAGGGCUACGGAUCAUGCAUUUAUAAUCGAUGAAUUUGGUGCUACUAUCCAAAUGGUGGUGGCGACUCUUCACGGAACCAAACCUACACUAGAACAAGCCGGUAAGAAUCCUCUACUAUAUCCGAAAAAGGCCGUUACAUGAAGGAAGCGCCUUCAUCGCUCACUCGCAAUGGUGGAGGAGCGUUUUGCGUUGUCGAGAUAUGUUCAAAUGCGACUUAACCUACAAGCUAGUAGAUGGCAGGGAUAUUAGGCUCUAGUUUGACAUUUGGUUUGGGGAGACAUCUCUACGCACACAGUUCCCAAUUAUUUUUGACAAUUUAAGGAACAAGAAAAUCAAAGUGUCCCAGUGCUAGAACCCAAAUGGAUAGAGGUGGCGCUACAUCUAUCGGGGUUUCGUUGCAUCUCAGUCUAUUGACGGAUGUAGACAGCUGACGAUGCUGAAGGACCUACUCCAGCAUGUCUGUCCACACAACAGGACGAUCUCGGUUAACUGGCGCUGGACCUCCAAUCAAAAAUCCUCUGUCAAAUCCCUCUACUUGUUUCUUACAGACACAGGAAUGAGAGAUUAGAUAUACCAGUAUAUCUGGAGACUGAAAAUCUUAGUUAAAAUCAAAAUCUUCAUUUGGUUGCUUCUCCAAAAGAGGAUCCUCACUACCGAUAGACUUCUAAAUUGUGGAUGGUCCGUAGAGCAACAUUGUGUCUUCUGUGCCUUGGCCUUUGAAAGCUGCGACCAUCUUUUCCGUAAUUGCGUGUUUGUUAGAUACUUACUCCUUAGCACGGAUGGAUCAGAAGUACUCGCUGAGCCCUCGUAUGAAGCCCGAGGUUUAUGGAGCAGGGUUAUCAGCUAUGAAGACUCUAGAAAUAGGCUACAAGAUUAAACUAUUUUGUCGGCCAUCUGGUGCGUCGUUUGGACUGAAAGGAACAAUAUUAUCUUCCUAGCGAAUUACUCUACCCCUUCCCAUGCGUUAGAACGUGUCAAAUUCGGCCUCCUUAACACGCGGAACGAGUUCUAUUAAUUGUUGAUUGCAGACUGCCACCCUGUAAGAUUAUCUGUUUCGGAGUAGCUGACGCUUCUUCUCACGUUUUUUUCGUUUCUUUUCUAUUGUUGGUUUUUGGUUCCUAUCUCUCUUUUCUUCUAUUUUUUUCUAUUUUCUAGGAGGCCUUGGCUGCUUCCAUCUUAUAUACUUAGUUCAUUUCGCUUAAUGAAUAAAGCAGGUAGCUCGCUACUUUGUUCUUUCUAAAAAAAAUCCUUUAAUUUGUGUAUGUUGUUUUUAUUUUGAUGUUACUUUGACGAAUGAAACACGUUUAUCCAAUGUUCUUAUAAUAUUUUGACCAAUGAAUGUGAAUGCUCCGUUUGUUCUGCGCCGAGAGGGUUGGUUUUAUUAGUUUGACUAUUAAUGGAAAAAUUACUAUAAAGUUCAGAAAAAGGAGGAGAGAGAGAUAAAAAAAGAGAUAAACAAGAAUAUCUGCAUAUAGCCAUAUAUACUUAUCAAAAAGAUAGGAUAGAAAAACUUCUUUUCUCAUGGUCGUAUCUCCAUAUCUCCUUUUAGUAGUUGUAGUUUUAAUCUUUUCUUUGUUUUCUUCAAAUUCGUUAAAUUACUAUCAUUAAUUGCAGUAGAAGUAAUAUAUAAAUGUGAGAAUAUUUAAUUUCCUCCCCAUUUAAACCAGUUAGGGGUCAGCAUAGAGGCAUCUCUCAUCUGACUGUGUUUUGCUGGCUUUUUGCAUCAGCUUUGACCAUUCAAAGUUAAGGCAUCUUGCAAAAUUAUUGCAUGCGCCGCGAUCUAAAUGAAAAAUAACCUAAAAUAAUUGUCAGUUUUAAAGACAUAAAUUAGCAGAGACCGAUAUUUUUAAUAUUUUAUAUAUAUUUUUUUUUUUUGAUAGAAUCGCAUAGGUCUUUCCACGUGUAGGUGCACCCCACUUAUAUUUUU
rnacentral:lncRNA from 1 species